AAUGCUACUACAGCUCAUACAACUAUAGCUAACGUCACUAAUGCAACUACACAUGCGCCUCCAGUUACAACUGCCACCUCAGCCCCCAAAACAACCAGUAUACCAGGUACAAAUGCUACUGUGACUCCUGCCCCUUCUCCGCGCAAAUCUACAUUUGAUGCUGCCAGUUUCAUAGGUGGAAUUGUCCUUGUGCUGGGUCUACAGGCUGUAAUUUUCUUUCUGUACAAAUUCUGCAAGUCGAAAGACCGAAACUACCACACGCUUUAGGACCUGCCACUUUACAAUGGACUAGUAGCCCAACACCUGUAGUUCACUGAACCAAAAUAUCUUCUGUUGCUCAUGGAAGACAGCAGUCCAUAAUAUCCUUUAAAUCUCUAAAAGAAGACUUAGAAGAAUAUUUUUGCAACAUUAUAUUUGGCGAGAGGUGUUAUAAAUCUCCAAAAGGAUUACUUGCAAUAUGCUGCAUGGGUUCUAAUGGCUGUCUAAUUUUUCUUUUGUGGCUGCUGCUGUGGGACUCUCUUCAAUAUGCCAAAUGUAGACAUUCACAGAUUCUUGUAUGUGGCGGUGAUAACACCGUCUUAAGUAGACAAUCUCAUGGUUACUUAUUCUGAAGUCUAAUUUAAUCAACCUAUGAUGCAGUAUCCCUUUAGUUUUAUCAAGAUGUGAAUUAUUGGUGACUGACUUCAGGGAGUGAAAUACCAUUUUUACUAGCUUGUGGCCCUUACAGCACACUGCUAGAAAGGCGAACGGAAUUUCUAGUAGAUAAUGUCUUAAUGAAAUAAAAUAAUAGCCCUUUUCUAACACAAGAAUAAAGAUUGCUUGGUACAAUACUGCAUUCCAAACUAAAAUCUUGUGCCCUUUCCAAUCAAUGCUGAGGGUGGAGAGGGGAUGUAUGGAUAAUCUUCAUGAAGGGGAAAUGAAGAUUAGUGCCUUAAAAGACAAAAAGUUAAUAGGCUGCA